GAUUUUCAGCAGUUUGUUAAUUUCAGCAAAUCUUUUUCGUGUUUCCUCCAUAUGAAAUUGAACUACUUCAGCUUCUUCUGCAAAUAUUCAGCACUGUUUAAUCAGUUCCUAUUUCUCCUUAGAUACAUUCAACUAUGAUUUACAUGAUUGAGCUAUUUCAUCUGUUUUAAAUGUUUCAGUUACUUUCAGCAACUCUUCAGGAAUAUUUUCAGCUUGGAAGCAUUCACUGUGCAUUUUCUUAUGGAAAUGCUUUUUCUAGUUUUUCUUAUUAUUAUUUCGCCCCAUUUUUCGGUCGCUUUCAUCGUCUCAACGCUUCAUCGUAGAAUCGCCGUUCAACUUUCUAAACAUGUGUCGUCUUUAGGAGAUGGGGGCUAUUACUUUUCACGUUUUCAGCUUUUCAACUUUUAACGUUAUUCAACGUUUUUCGUCGUUUUUUUAUAAUGGUCGUCUAUGGGAAUGAUCGUUCAACUUUUUGUCAACUUGCCUCUUUUCGUCAGCUUCUGUCAUCGUCAUGCUUUGGCGUAGAAACGUCAUUUUAACGUCAAAAGCGUCUAUCAUCUUUCAACGUUCUCCGUGUAAAUCAGCGUCCUCGUAUCUUUUAUAGUUUUCGACUUGUGAGCGUUUAAAUAUCGUGUGGUAUUUGUUAAAUUUUCAGCUUUUCCAUUAGUGUGUAUUGCGUCUGCUAGAGUGCGUGAUGUCACAGCUACAGUGAGAAGGUGCGCUUUUUUAAGACAGAACUUCUGUCUCUAACUUGUCACUACAGCUACAAUUUCUACUCUAUCAACGUAAUUAUUUCACUAAAUCGUAGUCAUACUUGUCUUCUUUCUAAUGAUGUGUCUGGAUAUACCCUCAGACCUAUACUUUAGUCGCUAUCAACCUCAAAGUGCAGAGAGAUCCCGAAAUUCUCCCAUUGACCCUAAUGAUAAUUUUCGGCAGACGUCUGGGGAGAAAAACAGAGGAGACAUAUUUUGAAAUUGCCACUGUGGCUACAAGCUUUUGUCCUCAAACAUAAAAUUCACACCAUUUGCUCAUUGAAGCCUUGGGACUCGUAAAAUGAAAUAAUUUUUGUGAUAACUAUCAUGGUUUAGCUGGAACAAGCCUGUUUAUACAGGGUGAAACUCUGCUUUUUACAGAGCAGAGUGAGCCUGAUUUUCCCGCCUUUCGUCUCCAUGGCGAUGGCGCAGCUGCAGAUUUC
rnacentral:lncRNA from 1 species